rnacentral:lncRNA from 1 species
CUGUCUGAGAUUGUACCAAUAGUUAUCAAGUAUAGGUUUUUCAUCCUAGUUAAUUUCGCUGUCAAACAUAUCAAUCUGAUAAAACUGCAACGCCUUGCACCAUGUUAAUUUUUCAAGUACGAGAAACUGCUUAGCUCAAAAUGCCAUGUUGAGUGUAUGCUAGCCAUGAUUCUUUUCAUAGUUUGAUGUUGCUCAUGUGGAGCUAUUUG